GGUACUCGAGUGGCGAACGGGUGAGUAACACGUGAGUAACCUGCCCUUGACUUCGGGAUAACUUCAGGAAACUGGGGCUAAUACCGGAUAGGAAUCCUUGCUGCAUGGUGGGGGUUGGAAAGCUUCGGCGGUUUUGGAUGGACUCGCGGCUUAUCAGCUUGUUGGUGGGGUUGUGGCUUACCAAGGCUUUGACGGGUAGCCGGCCUGAGAGGGCGACCGGCCACAUUGGGACUGAGAUACGGCCCAG
rnacentral:rRNA from 1 species